CUUUAGAGCAUGUGCAGCUCAGCAGGGAGAGCUGAAUAAUCAGUUGAAGCAGUAGCUCUGGAAGAUCUAGGAGAAACAAAAUUCCAAGAAGGAAAUUGAAUGGCUUGAGUUGAAGUCUUGUUUUUACAAGCGUCAGUUCGCCAAGAGCAUUCACUAGCAUACCUAAUAAACCAGGU